CCUCGCUGUUAGCGAUAUACAGUUAGCGGCUAAGCAAAAGCAUUAAGUGAUCCACCUGGGGAGUACGGCCGCAAGGCUGAAACUCAAAGGAAUUGACGGGGGCCCGCACAAGCGGAGGAACAUGUGGUUUAAUUUCGAUGAUACGCGAGGAACCUUACCUGGGCUUAAAUGUAGAGUGCAUGAGGUAGAAAUACUUCUUUUCUUCGGAACUCUCUGCAAGGUGCUGCAUGGUUGUCGUCAGCUCGUGCCGUGAGGUGUCGGGUUAAGUCCCAUAACGAGCGCAACCCUUAUCGUUAGUUGCCAGCGGGUAAUGCCGGGGACUCUAGCGAAACUGCCGGUGUAAACCGAGAGGAAGGUGGGGAUGACGUCAAAUCAGCACGGCCCUUAUGUCCAGGGCUACACACGUGUUACAAUGGCCGGUACAGAGGGCAGCUACCUGGAGACAGGAUGCGAAUCUCGAAAGCCGGUCUCAGUUCGGAUCGGAGUCUGCAACUCGACUCCGUGAAGCUGGAUUCGCUAGU
rnacentral:rRNA from 1 species